AUACUGCUGAUGAGACCCAACUGGGUCGAAACUGCUGUCCAGUAC
rnacentral:hammerhead_ribozyme from 1 species